AUAUGCUGUAUUGUUUAAUGUAAUGUAUAAUACAGCCUAAUUUAUAUUUAGUCAUUAUACGUAAAUGUAUUAUUUCAUAUCAAGUAGGCCAUUAUCGCUUGUUCUUCCGGAGUUUUUUCAUCCUCUUUUAUAAUUAUGGGAAGUCUGCCAUCUAGUGGUUGAAAGGUAGAAAGAUUGUUGAGUUGCUUCGUUAAUUAUGUCCGCUUUUAGAACUUUGAAUUCCUUCUGGUUUCAGUGUGAUUAUUUAGUGUGUACUACAUUGGGCAUUUAUAAGUAAAUUAAUAGUUGUAUUAAUUUGUUUUAUAGCUUGUGAUUCACUGAUGGUUUUCGAGUUGCAUUGUGGGACCUUGUGUCUACACCGUCAUCUUAUGGUGAUAGAGGAAGUGAAGAAAGACGUAGACAGGAAGAAUGGAUUGUCUCUUGGUGUUAAGAGAAGUGGUCAAAGAUCAACAGGAAAGACAUCUGACACAUCAGCACAUUUCACAUAUACACAUAGUAAAGAUUUACACAUGCUUUUAGAGAAGCUUUGAACUACUCAGGUUUUGUGAAUCAUCCCUGGCUCCACAACGUCAUACCUUAGUCUGGGGUUCAUUAUUAAUGAGCAUUUGAAAGUGGAUCUAAAAGCCUUUGCAGGAAAUUGCUGUUGGUAAUCAGACUGAAUAUAUUUGAUUGCAUUAGUGAUCUACUCUCAUUUGUGCAAUAAUAAGAUAAUGAGGCUCAUUCAGAUUGCUGUGUAGAGCAUGCCAAUGUGUACCUUUAGAUUUUGAUUUAAUUUCAUGUGGCGGGCAUCCAAAUUGAUACUCAAAUGAUGUUGUAAUUUGUAGACUGCUGAUCAAAGAUAAUAAAAUAAUAAUUGAAAAAAUCUUUAGAAGUAGUUUGAGUUUACCAAGUUACUAAAUAUCUAUUUCCUAUGCUAUAUUUGUUUAAAGGGGUCCUAUCAUGCCUUUUCACUUUUUAAUUUGUAGUCAGCCUGUAGUCUGUAUAAUUGGGCAUAAAAAGAUCUAUGAGGAUCAAAUCUUGAGGGAGAUAUUUCAUUUUAUUUUACAACUCUUUUCAGAAAAUUACAAGCUCGCAUGGACUAAAACAUUGUUUUCCAAAGUUUAUGAUGUCACAAAAUUCCCCAUUAGAAGAUAAUUCAAUUAGUAUUUUUUAUAUUUUUAAUAUUUUUUACAUAUUAUACAUAUAUAAAUUACUGACAGUAUAUGCAAUACAGUACACUCCAUCAUGACAAGCAUAAGAGUGUGGAUUUGGGGGGGCCUGUUAGGCGACCAUUAACCGUUUUUUUGAGAGGAUGACAAACUGACAAAACAUUGCUGUCACUCUGAUACAAGCUUUAUUUAUGGGAAAAUUACAAAGCACUGCAGUGUUUGGGUCAUCUGUGCUUAUCUGAGAUAAUUAGUCUACUGAAAUGUGUAUAUUCCAUACAAGCUGAAGCUGAUCAGUCAAUUCUUGUCACGUGACUCGCGGUACACUCUCGGAAUUCAUUUAACUGCAUGUGUCUCGAAGGCGCGAGCGUUAGAGUUAGCAUGCAAGCCACACACCUCCAUUGGAAACAACAAAUUAGUGAGAACUCUAGAAAAGGCGCGAUAUGCGAAUGGCCCCUCAAAGGCCGCCAUCAUUUGAGAUUUCCUAUGUUGAUCUUCUUGCACAGACAUGCUGGAUUUACCUGAUUUGUUGACAAAUAGGUCGUUGAUCCAUUCCUUGGCAGUUCGCUGGUCAUUCACUGGACCUCUUAGCAAUGAAACUUUCCAAAGACAUCUGUUUCUUAUUAAUUUUGCUACUUGUGUGUUAAAUUUGGGUGCUAAAGUGUCCGAGAUGUAAGAUGUAAUGUUAAUUUUUCAAAAUAAAAGAUUUUUCAAAAUAAAAGAUUGUUUAGACUCAGAUAACAAAUAAAUAAAUAAACAAAUAUUUAAUGAUUUCUUGUGCGGCCCGGUACCAAUUGAUCCACGGUAUCGGUCCGCGGCCCGGUGGUUGUGGACCACUGUUGUAGUACACCCAAAUGCAAAAACACGAUUUUGUGAAGUGCAAUUUCUGCCAUGAAACUCUAUGCGCGUGCAGGCUCAAAGGCCACCUAAUGUGCUCCUGCGUCAUUAACUACAUGGUGCAGGAGAUUGGUUGCUGCCACCUCGGCAGCCAAUGUGUUUGCUCUUCCUCAUUUCAAAUGCUC
ensembl:lincRNA